rnacentral:rRNA from 1 species
AGAGUUUGAUCCUGGCUCAGAACGAACGCUGGCGGCAGGCUUAACACAUGCAAGUCGAACGCCCGCAAGGGGAGUGGCAGACGGGUGAGUAACGCGUGGGAAUCUACCCAGAUCUACGGAACAACAGUUGGAAACGACUGCUAAUACCGUAUACGCCUACGGGGGAAAGAUUUAUCGGAUUUGGAUGAGCCCGCGUAAGAUUAGCUAGUUGGUGAGGUAAUGGCUCACCAAGGCGACGAUCUUUAGCUGGUCUGAGAGGAUGAUCAGCCACACUGGGACUGAGACACGGCCCAGACUCCUACGGGAGGCAGCAGUGGGGAAUAUUGGACAAUGGGCGCAAGCCUGAUCCAGCCAUGCCGCGUGAGUGAUGAAGACCUUAGGGUUGUAAAGCUCUUUCAGUGGGGAAGAUAAUGACGGUACCCACAGAAGAAGCCCCGGCUAACUUCGUG